CUAAGUUUUUGUAGAGAAGAUUAUUUUUUUUCUGAUGAGCUGACCGUCUAUCUGCCUAUUAAGUUGAGCAUCUUCCAAUUAAGAAAGAAGGCAUAUACUUCAAUUUUAAUAGUCACAAUCUCAAAUCCCUUCUAGUGAUCGUGAAGAGUCAUCAUUACCAUAAUUAUUGGUUACUCAUGUGCCUUUAGAAGAAUAUGAGCAAAUUUUAAUUUAUAAUCAUUAUUCAUUUGAGUUCAGAUUUUUAUUCUAGCAAACUUGUAAUUUUUGUUAGUUAAUAGUGGCUUUGUUUUUAAGUGACGGUGGGAGAAGAGGAUAUGGUUGAUGAUAAUAAGAGGAGGAAGACCACAUCCAUGGGGAA
rnacentral:lncRNA from 1 species